rnacentral:rRNA from 1 species
UACGUAGGGCGCAAGCGUUGUCCGGAAUUAUUGGGCGUAAAGAGCUCGUAGGCGGUCUGUCGCGUCGGCUGUGAAAACUCGGGGCUCAACUCCGAGCUUGCAGUCGAUACGGGCAGGCUAGAGUUCGGCAGGGGGAGACUGGAAUUCCUGGUGUAGCGGUGAAAUGCGCAGAUAUCAGGAGGAACACCGGUGGCGAAGGCGGGUCUCUGGGCCGAUACUGACGCUGAGGAGCGAAAGCGUGGGGAGCAAACAGG